ACAACACAAGCGCUGAUUGGAUCUCACUCCGGCCAACGUUUGUGAUCAGACAAAUAAAAAAAAUGAGCCAGACAGCUGCUGGGUAACUAUCAAAUGAAAAACUAAACGAGAUAGACGGACUCGGCCCACCGCCUAACAUGUAUAUAGCUUUCCAAAGAACAAGUGGAGGUAGUGAGACAUGGAAUAGGAGGUUGGAGGAGCUUUGCAGCACAAGCUGGGCCACUGAGGAGAGCUGGUUGGAGAGAAGAUUGUAGAUGUGCUGAUACUUGCUCCAUGACAGAAGAAAAGAACAUUUGAUCUGGGGGAAUAAAUGAUAAAUAAAACACUUGCACAA